rnacentral:tRNA from 1 species
GGUGGAGGUGGCCUAGCGGCAUGGCGUGAGAUUGCAAACCUUAAGAUCCCGGGUUCGAGUCCCGGCCACCA